UCCGCAGAAGGCUAAACUGAGCCACUUGCAUCAUCCUCUCACUACCCCUCGAUUUAGUGACGCACAAGAGCGCCGAGAAUGAAACGGUGCGAAGGGGGUGGAAAUGGUGCAGUUGAUUACUGAUGAUGUUAAAGAGUGGGUUGAGGACACUUGACUCGGUCACCGAGGUGGCUUCGUACGUAACUCUUGCUAAGGACGCAUCCGUUUGCUGGUCCCACAUAAAAAAAUUCAUCAGAUACUACGGAGUACGAAAGCUCGUAUAUAUAUAUAUAUAGUUAUUUCCGAGGCCCAAAUUAUUGUCAAAUAUCUCCCUCCAAAUCUGAAAUAUGGAAUACAACCUAGAUCGAGGGGUGGGAUGAUACGAGGUCACAUCCAUUCCGCGCUGUCUACGGAGUAUGGAAAGAAGAAUGGGAGUGAAAGCUCGACCUUUGGAACAAGGUAAGUUUUUUCUUUGCUUUUCGUUUUUUAUUUUUAUUUUUAUUUUAUUUUAUUUUAUUUUUUUUUAAAAAAAAGUAAAUUAUACAAUCAAUUACAGACGGCAAAAUGAUGACAGUAUCUAAAAACGGGAACCUGUUUUCCGUAACCACCCCGUACCCAUCCCAUAAAAUGAGACACAGGACUCCAUCUCAGGCAAGAGACAAAGCCUUCCAAAAACCGACGCCCAAAUAAAUUUAGAUCCCACAUUCCCAGAAAAGAGAAACAAAAGAAAAAAGGGAAAGGAAAAUCACACCAAGAACCAGACAGAAGGUACAAGAGGAUCGCUCGCUGAAUCGCGGAACAAAAGCAGCCAUGGUCAAGUCCAAAGAUGGGAGCAGCGUCUUUGAAGAUUCGGAAAACCGUGUAGACAGGAAGACAAUGCAUUCACGAUUAAUCGCCGAAGCUAAACACCCUCCUGAUGUGGGCGUAAAGGAGGCCUAGUAUUUGCGGCUCCGAUUUGAGAAGAAGUUGACUCUAGCCGGGAACCAAGCCACCCGCCUCGCUGAUACGCACUUGAUGAUCGUGUCUCCUUGAGGGGCACGCGUGGCAUUGACUGCUGCCGUGUGGCUACGGAAAAGGUGCUCAUAUUGGAUCCACGACGUCUCAACCGUUUGUUGGCGUCCAUUGAUUCCUUCCGGUUGAGGGAUUCGGACGGUAGCAGAAUAGCACGAUCGAGUUCGUAUGGCAAACCACGAUGGCGGCCACGGAUUUCCAUGGCGAUGAUAAUGAGUUUCGAUAAGGGCCUGAAGUGCCCGCAGAGCGCGGUGUUGGAGUUCGGGAGCCCAAGUGACAGGCCCACGGUUCCGUAGGCAGAGACGAUCUCGAACAUGACCGCGAACAUGGAGAAAGAAUUUUCGCCCUUUUGGUCAAGCCUGUUGACUUCGAUGAUGGAGAUGAGGAACCACCCAAGGAAAAUAUACCAUAAAUCGAAGCUUAGUUGUUUUCGUAGAUGGGCCCCGAUAUAGCUGACAUUCUUCGAGCCCAGCGUUUCAUCUUCAUCGUCAUCAGGGUAGGAAUAUAUCCCCAAACUGCCCUCCUCGUAAACGUUUGUCCGACGGAUCGAAAUGGCAACAGGGAACACGGAAAUAUACAUCAUAAUCAAAAAGAAUACCUGAACAGCAGGAUGAAUAUUUGCCAGAUUGACGACCGCUAAACCAGCCGUCCGCGUCGAUGCUGCUUGGAAAAAACCAUCCACAAAGCGUAUCCCAGUCGGAAUCCUAUUGAAUUCCGGGUUAUUCAACUAAGAGGAAGUUAGCAGGUGGCUAGCAGGUGGCAAGGAAAGACGCGCUCAUGGACAAGGGCACCUACAUCUAAAAUAAUGAAGAAGAUCAGUUGUAGACCAUUAAGAACAACAAGAACUCCAAAUAGCCACCACGUAGCCGCGCCAGGAAACAUAAGGGUAAAACAUCUUCGUGGGUGGUCUAGCAAGAACCGCAAUUCUUCCCACACAGGGCUGCCGAAGGGAACGAGGUGAGAAAGCAUCCAAAUCGUAAAUCGCAGCAUGCAAGGAAAUGCGGUAUUCCCGACGAGAAUAAGGAAACUCAGCAAAAGAAGUGGAAAUAUUGCAUCGUAGAACGACAUCAUCGAGUCUGGGGUGAGAGUGAAUCCUUGAUCGUUGAAGGCGGAAGCAGAGGUGAAAACAGCCCACCACGGACGGCCUAACCCUGCUUCUUUGACAAUGUUACCGAAUCUUUCUGUUUUCAGAAUCCACGGCACCAAGGAUACAAUGCC
rnacentral:sRNA from 1 species